GCACCUAUGGCUCAAUGGCAGAGCGCCAGACUUCUAAGCUUGUCCAUCUGGAGGCUGCGGGUUCGAGUCCCGCUAGGUGUA